AUACAGGAGACAUGAGGUAUUUGGUCUGACGAUCGUAUGUUCCGAAUAGGAGGCCUUGGUAGCAGGUAGAUUUUUUGGAGUCGCUUGGAGUAUCUUGUCUGCCGGUUCCCACAUUACAUCUGAAGACCUAUUUCUGGUUUUCAUUUGUACUUUAUUUGGUCUAUGUUUUUGGUUUACUUAGCAAUGUAAAUUUAUGUUUUGGUUCCAGAGUGUUUUGAUAUGGUGUCUUGUAUUGUUUUGUUGUGUUGUGUAAGCCUAGCCGGCUAGCAGUCCUUGUUUUUUGUCUGUGAUGGUUUUUUGACAUUUUCCAAUGUGUUUUUAGUUUUUAGUA